rnacentral:lncRNA from 1 species
GAGAGAAGACAUCAGACUUCCACAUCCAUACAGUACAAACUGUACAGAUUAUUUAAGUCUUUGGAAUGAAAACAAUGGCACGGGACCGUUAAACGAAAGGGCAUGCAUCGAGUAUUGUAAAUUGGAAAAGCUGAAAUCACGUGCAUGUAUUGAUGAACAUAUAUGGUAUGCUCCUCACAUGGAGAUACUAUGUGGCAAAAUUGUUGGAAGACACACUUCAACUUAUGAAAUAAUUAAAGAUUGUAUCAGGAAAUGCAAACCAGCAUGCCGGUGAG